ACGGGGCGCAGCAGUCGCGAAAACUUUGCUAUAAGCGCAAGCUUGACAGGGCUAUCCCGAGUGCCAUCCGCUGAGGAAGGCUUUUACCCAGUCUAGAACGCUGGGGGAAUAAGGAGAGGGCAAGUCUGGUGUCAGCCGCCGCGGUAAUACCAGCUCUCCGAGUGGUGUGGAUGUUUAUUGGGCCUAAAGCAUCCGUAGCUGGCUAAGUUAGUCCCCUGUUAAAUCCACCGAAUUAAUCGUUGGAUCGCGGGGGAUACUGCUUGGCUAGGGGACGAGAGAGGCAGACGGUAUUUUCGGGGUAGGGGUGAAAUCCUAUAAUCCCGGGAAGACCACCAGUGGCGAAGGCUGUCUGCUAGAACGCGCCCGACGGUGAGGGAUGAAAGCUGGGGGAGCGAACCGGAUUAGAUACCCGGGUAGUCCCAGCUGUAAACGAUGCAGACUAGGUGUUUGGACGGCCACGUGCCGUUCUAGUGCCGCAGGGAAGCUGUUAAGUCUGCCGCCUGGGGAGUACGAUCGCAAGAUUGAAACUUAAAGGAAUUGGCGGGGGAGCACCACAAGGGGUGAAGCUUGCGGUUUAAUUGGAUUCAACGCCGG
rnacentral:rRNA from 1 species